rnacentral:lncRNA from 1 species
GAGAGGGGAGAGCGUAGAGGAGAGAGGAGAAUGGCUGUCGUAGAGUAGAGAGGAGAAUUGCUGUCGUAGAGGAAAGAGGAGAGAGGAGAAUGGCUGACGUAGAGGAGAGGAGAAUGGCUGUCGUAGAGUAGAGAGGAGAAAAGCUGUCGUAGAGGAAAGAGGAGAGAGGAGAAUGGCUGUCGUAGACGAGAGAGAAGAAUGCCUGUCAUAGAGGAGAGAGGAGAAUGGCUGUCAUAGAGGAGAGAGGAGAAUGGCUGUCGUAGAUUAGAGAGGAGAAUAGCUGUCAUAGAGGAGAGGGGAGAAUGGCUGUCGUAGAGGAGAGAGGAGAAUGGCUGUCGUUGAUUAGAGAGGAGAAUAGCUGCCGUAGAGGAGAAUGGAGAAUGGCUGCCGUAGAGUAGAGAGGAGAAAGGCUGUCGUUGAUUAGAGAGGAGAAUAGCUGCCGUAGAGGAGAAUGGAGAAUGGCUGCCGUAGAGUAGAGAGGAGAAAGGCUGUCGUUGAUUAGAGAGGAGAAUAGCUGCCGUAGAGGAGAAUGGAGAAUGGCUGCCGUAGAGUAGAGAGGAGAAAGGCUGUCGUUGAUUAGAGAGGAGAAUAGCUGCCGUAGAGGAGAGAGGAGAAUGGCUGUCGUAUAUUAGAGAGGGGAGUGGCUGUCGUCCAGUAGAGAGGAGAAUGGCUGUCACAGAAGAGAGGGGAGAAUGGCUGUCGUAGACGAGAGAGAAGAAGGCCUGUCAUAGAGGAGAGAGGAGAAUGGCUGUCGUAGAGGAGAGAGGAGAAUGGC